UGGGGAAUAUUGCACAAUGGAGGGAACUCUGAUGCAGCGACGCCGCGUGAACGAAGAAGGCUUACGAGUCGUAAAGUUCUUUUAUAUGGGAAGAUAAUGACGGUACCAUAAGAAAAAGCCCCGGCUAACUACGUGCCAGCAGCCGCGGUAAUACGUAGGGGGCUAGCGUUGUCCGGAAUCACUGGGCGUAAAGGGUUCGCAGGCGGAAAUGCAAGUCAGGUGUAAAAGGCAGUAGCUUAACUACUGUAAGCAUUUGAAACUGCAUAUCUUGAGAAGAGUAGAGGUAAGUGGAAUUUUUAGUGUAGCGGUGAAAUGCGUAGAUAUUAAAAAGAAUACCGGUGGCGAAGGCGACUUACUGGGCUCAUUCUGACGCUGAGGAACGAAAGCGUGGGUAGCAAACAGG
rnacentral:rRNA from 1 species